GACGUAGGGCGCGAGCGUUGUCCGGAUUUAUUGGGCGUAAAGAGCUCGUAGGCGGCACGGUUAGUCAGGUGUGAAAUCUCCACGCUCAACGUGGAGGGGUCACCCGAUACUGCCGAGCUUGAGUCCGGUAGGGGAGUGCGGAAUUCCCGGUGUAGCGGUGAAAUGCGCAGAUAUCGGGAAGAACACCCGUGGCGAAGGCGGCUCUCUGGGACGGUACUGACGCUGAGACGCGAAAGCGUGGGGAGCGAACAGG
rnacentral:rRNA from 1 species